rnacentral:rRNA from 1 species
GAUGAACGCUGGCGGCGUGCCUAAUACAUGCAAGUCGAGCGAACGGACGAGAAGCUUGCUUCUCUGAUGUUAGCGGCGGACGGGUGAGUAACACGUGGAUAACCUACCUAUAAGACUGGGAUAACUUCGGGAAACCGGAGCUAAUACCGGAUAAUAUUUUGAACCGCAUGGUUCAAAAGUGAAAGACGGUCUUGCUGUCACUAAUAGAUGGAUCCGCGCUGCAUUAGCUAGUUGGUAAGGUAACGGCUUACCAAGGCAACGAUGCAUAGCCGACCUGAGUGGCGGAUCGGCCACACUGGAGCUGAGACACGGUCCAGACUCCUACGGGAGGCAGCAGUAGGGAAUCUUCCGCAAUGGGCGAAAGCCUGACGGAGCAACGCCGCGUGAGUGAUGAAGGUCUUCGGAUCGUAAAACUCUGUUAUUAGGGAAGAACAUAUGUGUAAGUAACUGUGCACAUCUUGACGGUACCUAAUCAGAAAGCCACGGCUAACUACGUG